rnacentral:lncRNA from 1 species
GGGGGGGCUGGGGGGGGAUUGGGGCACUGGGAGGGGGAACUGGGAGCGCUGGGAGCGAUGGGGCGGGAACUGGGAGCAGGAACUGGGAGCGCUGGGUGCGCUGAGGGGCGCUAUGGGGCAGAAUGGGGGCGCUAUGGGGCAGCUGACCCCCCCCCCUUCCCCAGACCCCCCCCAGGAUGACGUCGCCGUGGGGCUGAGCCGUGGGGCGGAGCUGUGGGGCCCCCAAUGUUCCCACGGGCGCUGCGGGCGCUGCUGGAGGGGGCGCGGACCCCCCCGGGCCGGGAGGAGGGGUGGUGCUGAGCUCCUAUAGGGCCAAUCCCCCCGAGUCCGACCCACAGCAGGUUGACCCCACGAGAUGACCCCUUGGGAUGACCCUAUGGGGUGACCUCACGGGUUGACCCCCAAGAGAUGACCCAUUGGGGUGACCUCAUGGCAUGACCCCAAGAGAUGACCCUAUGGGGUGACCUCAUGGCAUGACCCCAAGAGAUGACCCUAUGGGGUGACCUCACAGGUUGACCCCACGAGAUGACCCCUUGGGAUGACCCUAUGGGGUGACCUCACGGGUUGACCCCAAGAGAUGACCCCAAAGAUGGAUGAGCCAUUGGGACGCCCCCAUGAGGUGACCCCACGAUGUGACCCCCACCCCAUAACAGACGGAGCUCCGCGAAGCCGACGCGCUCUUCUCGGCCGCCCCACAGCGCUAUGGGGCGCCCCACGGCCGUCUGCUGCGCGCCGCCCCACUGCCGC